GGCGAGACUUUGUGUUUGUAUGGAUCGGUCCCUCUUGGCGAGGCGAGUCUGUCAAACUUGUCAGGCAGGGCGGGAGGCGGAGGAGGCUGCUCUCCUCAGGGAGCGGUGAGGCGGCGGAACGUCGCUCCGCUCUGUGGCAGGCAGCGCCGUGCGCCCGGGUGUCAGGCACCUGCCCCGCUCACGCGCUCCCUCGUGCCAGCUGCAGGGAUCGUGCCCAGCGUAUCAGAUGCCUCAGGUUGGAUCUAUGCCAAGUACCUCUCGGGGGUGUGCUUAGCAGUGCACGUCGCUCAGUGCUGAGCGAGGCAGAGCUAAUGGCUGCGGUAUGUUGUGAGGUGUCACAAACAGCAGUGCACGCGGAGAUUUCUGUCAGUGAACUCGCUGGGACUGAAAUAAACACGUCAUUUAUCAUCCUAAAAGGAAUCCAAGGCCUCCAGCAUCAACUGCAGGGGCUGCUCAUACACUGAGUGGCCACCAAGAGUGUACAUGCUUAGGCUGGAAAGUCAAAGAAAUCCAAAGGAGGUCAAUGAGCAAUAGUUUUCUGCAUGAUGCACAAAAAUGCUACACUGGGGAAGAUAAGUCACAUUUACAGGCUUCUUUGCUGAAAUGGGAGAGUCAUUGCUAUACAAGAAAAACAAGCUGUAGAAAUAUCCUUUAGCAGAAAUGGUGGCUCCAGUCUAUUUGCAACAACAGUUUCUCCAAGACAUCUCUAUUCAGCUGCUAUCAAAAGGAGAUGGUAUGUGUUUUGCAUAGUGCUCUUAAGUACAAAAGUUUCAAGAUCAGACAUCAUAAAACAAAUAUCAACUGACAAGCUGUAUUUGACUAUGUUAAUAACACACAUCAAAGAUGCUGUUUCUAAAGAUAACUAGAGCAUUUCACAGAUGCCAUGUGAAAAAGAACUCACGGGGGAACAUUUAACUGAGUGACGUGUUAAAAGAAAACAUAUAUUUUAAAAUCCAUCACCUACUUCAUGUUAAUGGCGUGAGUUUCCAUUAAUUAGCAUUCUACGUGUUUCAUGCUGAACUAACUUGAGGCUACAAAGUGUAACAGAUUUUAUAAAAGAAUUCAAA